rnacentral:rRNA from 1 species
UAGCGAAAUUCCUUGUCGGGUAAGUUCCGACCUGCACGAAUGGCGUAACGAUGGCGGCGCUGUCUCCACCCGAGACUCAGUGAAAUUGAAAUCGCUGUGAAGAUGCAGUGUAUCCGCGGCUAGACGGAAAGACCCCGUGAACCUUUACUAUAGCUUUGCACUGGACUUUGAAUUUGCUUGUGUAGGAUAGGUGGGAGGCUUUGAAGCGUGGACGCCAGUUCGCGUGGAGCCAACCUUGAAAUACCACCCUGGCAACUUUGAGGUUCUAACUCAGGUCCGUUAUCCGGAUCGAGGACAGUGUAUGGUGGGUAGUUUGACUGGGGCGGUCUCCUCCUAAAGAGUAACGGAGGAGUACGAAGGUGCGCUCAGACCGGUCGGAAAUCGGUCGUAGAGUAUAAAGGCAAAAGCGCGCUUGACUGCGAGACAGACACGUCGAGCAGGUACGAAAGUAGGUCUUAGUGAUCCGGUGGUUCUGUAUGGAAGGGCCAUCGCUCAACGGAUAAAAGGUACU